AGAAACUUGUUGGAAUUGACCAAGGGUCAAAGUUAUCAUGGAUUUGAUUAACAAUUGGAGUGCAUUGCUUGGAAUGUAUCAUUGGCUUCUAUGGUCAUGUUGUAGAUGGAGUGCAUUGCAGUAAAAAAUUUGAAAUUGUUGUAGUGAAUAUAAUUGGAAUUGAAUAUGGAAAAAUGUAUUUAAUUUGAAUGGUUCUAAUGGAUAGUUGGAAGUUAUGGAAGGUUGAUUUGAAAUUGUAAUGAAUUUGGUUUUGGUUUAAAUUGAAGUCAAGUUGUGGAAA
rnacentral:lncRNA from 1 species